rnacentral:rRNA from 1 species
UACGUAGGGUGCAAGCGUUGUCCGGAAUUAUUGGGCGUAAAGAGCUCGUAGGCGGUUUGUCGCGUCGACUGUGAAAACCCGAGGCUUAACCUCGGGCCUGCAGUCGAUACGGGCAGACUAGAGUUCGGUAGGGGAGACUGGAAUUCCUGGUGUAGCGAUGAAAUGCGUAGAUAUGCCAUAGAACACCAAUUGCGAAGGCAGCUGGCUAGACCUGGAUUGACGCUGAGGCACGAAAGCGUGGGGAGCGAACAGG